UCUUCGGAGAGCCUUCACAGGUGCUGCAUGGCUGUCGUCAGCUCGUGCCGUGAGGUGUCCGGGUUAAGUCCCGUAACGAGCGCAACCCUUGCCCUUAGUUACAAGUGUCUAGGGGGACUGCCGGCGGGAAGCCGGAGGAAGGUGGGAUGACGUCAAGUCAGCAUGGCCCUUAUAUCCAGGGCUACACACACGCUACAAUGGACGGUACAAAGGGCAGCGAAGCCGCGAGGUGGAGCGAAUCCCAGCAAAGCCGUCCGUAGUACGGAUAGCAGGCUGCAACUCGCCUGCUUGAAGCUGGAGUUGCUAGUAACCGCGCGUCAGCAUAGUGCGGUGAAUACGUUCCCGGGGCUU
rnacentral:rRNA from 1 species